AAGAAACUAACCAGGAUUCCCCUAGUAACGGCGAGUGAAGCGGGAUAAGCUCAACUUGAAAAUCUAAGCGUCUUGUGCGCUUCGAAUUGUAGUCUAUAGAAGCUUUACCAGUGUAUUGCCUCGGUCAAAAUCCCUUGGAAUAGGGUAUCACAGAGGGUGAGAAUCCCGUUUGUGGCUGAGAGUUGCUAUGCGUACGGUAUGCUUUCAACGAGUCGAGUUGCUUGGGACUGCAGCUCAAAGUUGGUGGUAAACUCCAUCAAA
rnacentral:rRNA from 1 species